CACCUGUUGUGGAGAACCUACUUUGUGGUAGUGGUGGGGAGCAGCAGGCUGUUUGGGCUGGUGCUGUCCUGUUGGGUGUUUGAGGAACAAUUCUGAGUACGUUUGUCUUGUGGUUCAGCAGUGGGUAAUUUGCUCUGAUUCGAGCCUCUGCUUAAGGCAGCCUCGUAUCCAAUUCAGUGUAGAACUGUGGCCGUGCCCCUCCUCCACACGCAGGGGACAACUCUACUUCCGCGAUCCCGGAACUUGUGGUUGACCAUCUUCAAGCUUGCUGCUCCCAUGCCACCUGAUGCUGCCGCCCUGUUUCCUGCUGCUGGUUUUAUAGUACUGUUGUGUCUUAUACUUGUACUGUGUUCCUACUCCUCCAGAGUGUGUUGUGUAGUGUUUGUAGUCCUUUGAUUUUGUUGUUGGGGGGGGGGAAAGUGAUUGGAAGCAUUAGCCCUUGUCCCAAUGUUUUGUGUGUGUCCGUCCUUUGUGCUUGUGUGACGGGUUACUCCAUUCUACUGUUGCUUCUACACAUCACCACGGACAACCACUUAGAUCAGGUUUCUUUAUUGCUGGAACAAAGUAUGACGGUGUGGAAUUGUGGGUUCAGCAAAUAAUCUCCAGUCUGGGUAAACACUAUAGCCUACAAAUACUUGAAUGUAGUUGUGGUAGUUGCAAUUGUAUAUGAUAUAUCUAUGAAGCAAAAUAAAACUGUGUGUGUGA